rnacentral:rRNA from 1 species
CGUCUAUAUACGUAUAGCAUAUCAAUAAGCGGAGGAAAAGAAACUAACUAGGAUUCCCUCAGUAACGGCGAGUGAAGCGGGAAGAGCUCAAAUUUGAAAUCUUCAAGGUUUUACCUUGACGAAUUGUAGUUUAAAGAAGUGUUUUCUGUUGGAGUUUUGGUAAAAGUUCUUUGGAAUAGGACAUCAUAGAGGGUGAGAAUCCCGUAUUUGACCAUUAUUUCCAACUUUGUGAUACACUUUCAAAGAGUCGGAUUGUUUGGGAAUGCAGUCCAAAAUGGGUGGUAAAUUUCAUCUAAAGCUAAAUACUGGCGAGAGACCGAUAGCGAACAAGUACCGUGAGGGAAAGAUGAAAAGAACUUUGAAAAGAGAGUUAAACAGUACGUGAAAUUGUCAAAAGGGAAGCGUUUGACACCAGUGUUGUUUUCUCGAAAAUCAAUUAAAAAUGGUGGGAUUUUGUGUUGUAUUGACUUUAUCAGCUUUCUGCACUUUUUUCCUGUCUUUUUUAAUGCACUUUUCGUUUAACAAGUCAACAUCAAUUUCUUUUGUUGUAAAAGGAGUCAUUGGAAGGUGGCUUUCUUUUCGGAGAAAGUGUUUAUAGCCUUUGACUUCUGCAAUCGGAGAGAUUGAGGUCUGCAGCGUAGAUCCUUCGGGGUUAGAUACAUUUGUGCUAAGUUAUAGCCUUUCAUAGACAACUUGUUGACUAUGAUCAGUCAUGUAGCUUACUCGCUUAUGUCAUUUUACCUACGCUUAGGAUGUUGACGAUCAGCUGAGCGCG